AAUGCGACAAUGUGAAUGGUUUCUGUCGCAAUGCACGACGAGAAAUAUUGAAUGCAUAUUAACGAUCUACGCUUCCGUUUGUUAGUGAAUAAUUCGCUGUAAUAUGAAACAGUUCCAACUGUUUACAAAUUACCUACUAGCGGAUAUUAAAUAAUUAACCAUAUGCUGCUGCAAUAAACGAGUUGAUUCAUCUUUCGUGCCAGGUAAGUUUUUAACCUGAAAAUAUCUUGCACCGUGGCUUAGUGGUCAGGCGUUGCAUCUUAACCAAAAGAAAGCGGAUUCCAUGCUGUAUAGUGAUACUAUUGACGGCGUAUAUGUGGCUUUGAACAAAACACGGAUAUUGCUCCAACUCAGUGGUCACUAAUGGGCUUUAGCAUUCUGGGUGUCAGGAGGGCCAACUACAACUAAACCUUCUUUAUUGGUGGAUGGAUCUUCUUUAUCUGAUGAAGGGACAGAUGGAAGUAGUUACGAAGAUAAAAGCAGCUCAAAGUCGUUGUCCACAGAAUUUGACCAGUGGUGGGAUCGUUUCGACAACGAUUAAGAAUUUAUGUUUUAUAAACCGUGUGUAUAAUGGAUGCAUUAAUAUGGUAGGGCGGG